rnacentral:piRNA from 1 species
UCCAAGGCUCAGGUUGAGGUCCUCUAUAC